rnacentral:rRNA from 1 species
CACCACCAGGAGUGGAGCCUGCGGCUUAAUUUGACUCAACACGGGGAAACUCACCCGGCCCGGACACCGUAAGGAUUGACAGAUUGAGAGCUCUUUCUUGAUUCGGUGGGUGGUGGUGCAUGGCCGUUCUUAGUUGGUGGAGCGAUUUGUCUGGUUAAUUCCGAUAACGAACGAGACUCUAGCCUAUUAAAUAGUUCGCCGGUUCGGUAUUCGCCGGCGUCUAACUUCUUAGAGGGACAAGUGGCGUUCAGCCACGCGAGAGUGAGCAAUAACAGGUCUGUGAUGCCCUUAGAUGUUCGGGGCCGCACGCGCGCUACACUGAAGGACUCAGCACGUCUUCUCUCCCGGCCAGAAAUGGUCGGGCAACCCGCUGAACCUCCUUCGUGCUAGGGAUUGGGGCUUGCAAUUCUUCCCCAUGAACGAGGAAUUCCCAGUAAGCGCGAGUCAUCAGCUCGCGUUGAUUACGUCCCUGCCCUUUGUACACACCGCCCGUCGCUACUACCGAUUGGAUGGUUUAGUGAGACCCUCGGACCGGUCCCGGCGGGGCGGGCGACCGCUCUGCCGAGGUUGCUGGGAA